GAUGAACGCUGGCGGCGUGCCUAAUACAUGCAAGUCGAGCGAAUGGAUUAAGCGCUUGCUCUUAUGAAGUUAGCGGCGGACGGGUGAGUAACACGUGGGUAACCUGCCCAUAAGACUGGGAUAACUCCGGGAAACCGGGGCUAAUACCGGAUAACAUUUUGAACCGCAUGGUUCGAAAUUGAAAGGCGGCUUAGGCUGUCACUUAUGGAUGGACCCGCGUCGCAUUAGCUAGUUGGUGAUGUAACGGCUCACCAAGGCAACGAUGCGUAGCCGACAGGAGAGGGGGAUCGGCCGCACUGGGACUGAGAGACGCCCCAGACUCCUACGGGAGGCAGCAGUAGGGAAUCUUCCGCAAUGGACGAAAGUCUGACGGAGCAACGCCGCGUGAGUGAUGAAGGCUUUCGAGUCGUAAAACUCUGUUGUUAGGGAAGAACAAGUGCUAGUUGAAUAAGCUGGCACCUUGACGGUACCUAACCAGAAAGCCACGGCUAACUACGUGCCAGCCGCCGCCGUAA
rnacentral:rRNA from 1 species